rnacentral:sRNA from 1 species
UUGACAAUCUGACCGUGAAGGCAUACUUUCAGGAGUGAGGGUAGAGCGGGGUUUCCCCCGCCCUGGUAGUCUUAGUAAGCCGGGAAGCUUAUGACUAAGAGCACCACGAUGAUGAUCCACUUCAUCAUGACCCAUUCCUUAUU